GAAGAACCAAAGACAUCUGCAACCUGUGGCUGCAGAACCAGCCUGCAGUUCAUGAAGACGCGCCCUCUGGGCUGGCAGCCCGACAGUACCUCAUAGCACUUAGUAAGUUUCCCAUGAGCUGAUGGAUCUGCUGCCUUUUUUACCCUUCCUGCUGCAGCUACUGUAGAAGACUCAUGUGCCUCGUUCAUCGUCUCAUGUGAAACACAAAGCACCAGACCUGAGAUCUGAGAGUCAUUUGAUGACCAGAAGCUGGAAAGAACCCAGAUGCCCAUCAACAGAGGAAUGGAUACAGAAAAUGUGGUACAUUUACACAAUGGAGUACUACUCAGCUAUUAAAAAGAAUGAAUUUAUGAAAUCCUAGGCAAAUGGAUGGACCUGGAGGGCAUCAUCCUGAGUGAGAUCCCUGAGCUAUGAAGUCACAUGUUUGUGGUCACCCAAGCAGUGUUGGGUAUGUUUGGUUUCCAGCUCAUGGAGUAUACUUUUAACUCAAAUCAGAUAUUGAUGUUUUCUACUGUGAAUUCUCUACAAAACACAGUAUGAGGAACUGAGGAGACUAAGGAACUGACAGUGUGGUAGGAAGAAUCAAGUCCAAAGUGUUAAGGGAAGGAAGUGAGGAAGAAGAUAUUAAACUACAUCACCAUCCAGCUGACCCUUCUCGGGAACCACCCCGGAAGUCACCCAGAAGUUUGGAGGAGUUUUUGUUCAUUUGCAUUUUCAGACCUUAGAGUAGUCCAUGGAGGGGGAAAGCAAAGACCUUACCUGUCUGAUUCUCCUUCAGCCCUUGUUUUCUUUCCCUUGUUGGGAACUAACUUUAUACUUUUUCUAUGUACAGUCAGCCCUGGGCUGCCUCUCUGGGAGCCACCUUGUGGCAAUGUUUCAUUGAAAUCUGAAAAUAGAAGAGUAGCCUGGAGCUGAUGUAGCAGUGGCCUAGCAAGAGAGAGAAACAGAGGCAGGCUGAUGGUUGGUCCCCAUGCAGGUUCCCUUCAACUUGUGAAAAUGAUUAUGGUAAGCAACAUGACCUACUCUUAUCUCCCAGCCAACCUGAUACUCCCACUCCCACCACCACCAAAGACCAUCUCAUGUAGGUACCACUGUUGUCAAUGCUAACCCUUAGCCAAGGAAGCCACUGGGAUAGCCCGGGAACCAGUUCCCUUGCUCCCAAUCUUGACUUCCUUUGAUGCAUUCUUUGUGCCACAAGGGGAGUGCAGAAAAUGGUCUUUCAUAACUCCAUGGCUCUGUCCAUCAGUUAGUUGUUCACUAAGAAAGACUUUCCUUGACUUCUCUGCCAAAAUGCACCCUUCCUCUGAUAUUCUUCCAUUCUUUUUCAUUUUUUUGUUUUGGAUAUGUUGAUCUGCCCCUGGGAACCCACAACACUCAGGCAAAACAGGUAGGUGGGAGGCACCUUCCCUAUGUCUUUAUGAUCUGAAGCUGGAAGGAUUGUUCUGCAGUUGGAUGGGGCGCCAGCCCAGAUACAUGUUGUAGGACACAUUAGGUUUUCUUGGCUCAGGCUGGGAUAAAAGCUGCUUCUAAGAGGCAAAACCAACUUGGCUUUAAUGUGUGCCCCUGAACUCUUCAUUCUUUGGGGGAAUGAACAAGACAGAGAGAAGCAGCAAGGCUGUCCUCAGCUCCUUUCAUGACUGGUCAUCAUGCAUGUCUGUUUCUACUCUGUCCAGAAGUGCAGUCUCCUCUGCCCUUCCUCUCCUCCCAUGUAGCCCUUUGCCAACAUUCGCAAAAAACAUCUGUUUUCU
rnacentral:lncRNA from 1 species